rnacentral:rRNA from 1 species
UACGGAGGGUGCAAGCGUUAUCCGGAUUCACUGGGUUUAAAGGGUGCGUAGGCGGGUAGAUAAGUCCGUGGUGAAAUCUCUGAGCUUAACUCAGAAACUAGCCAUGGAUACUAUUUUGUCUUGAAUAUUGUGGAGGUAAGCGGAAUAUGUCAUGUAGCGGUGAAAAUGCUUAGAUAUGACAUAGAACACCAAUUGCGAAAGGCAGCUUACUACACAGUUAUUUGACGCUGAGGCACGAAAAGCGUGGGGGAUCAAAACAGGA